UACGUAGGGACCAAGCGUUGUUCGGAUUUACUGGGCGUAAAGGGCGCGUAGGCGGCGCGGUAAGUCACUUGUGAAAUCUCUGAGCUUAACUCAGAACGGCCAAGUGAUACUGCAGUGCUAGAGUGUGGAAGGGGCAAUCGGAAUUCUUGGUGUAGCGGUGAAAUGCGUAGAUAUCAAGAGGAACACCUGAGGUGAAGACGGGUUGCUGGGCCAACACUUGACGCUGAUGACGCGAAAGCCAGGGGAGCAAACGGG
rnacentral:rRNA from 1 species